rnacentral:rRNA from 1 species
GUGUAAGCAGCCUCGGUAAUACUUAGUUGGCAAUCGUUGUCCGGAUUUAUUGGGCGUAAAGCGAGCGCAGGCGGUUUCUUAAGUCUGAUGUGAAAGCCCCCGGCUCAACCGGGGAGGGUCAUUGGAAACUGGGAGACUUGAGUGCAGAAGAGGAGAGUGGAAUUCCAUGUGUAGCGGUGAAAUGCGUAGAUAUAUGGAGGAACACCAGUGGCGAAGGCGGCUCUCUGGUCUGUAACUGACGCUGAGGCUCGAAAGCGUGGGGAGCAAACAGGAUUAGAAACCCCUGUAGUCC